rnacentral:rRNA from 1 species
GACGAACGCUGGCGGCGUGCUUAACACAUGCAAGUCGAACGGAAAGGCCCUGCUUUUGUGGGGUGCUCGAGUGGCGAACGGGUGAGUAACACGUGAGUAACCUGCCCUUGACUUUGGGAUAACUUCAGGAAACUGGGGCUAAUACCGGAUAGGAGCUCCUGCUGCAUGGUGGGGGUUGGAAAGUUUCGGCGGUUGGGGAUGGACUCGCGGCUUAUCAGCUUGUUGGUGGGGUAGUGGCUUACCAAGGCUUUGACGGAUAGCCGGCCUGAGAGGGUGACCGGGCACAUUGGGACUGCGAUACGGCCCAGACGCCUACGGGAGGCAGCAGUGGGGAAUAUUGCACAAUGGGCGGAAGCCUGAUGCAGCAACGCCGCGUGCGGGAUGACGGCCUUCGGGUUGUAAACCGCUUUCGCCUGUGACGAAGCGUGAGUGACGGUAAUGGGUAAAGAAGCACCGGCUAACUACGUG